rnacentral:rRNA from 1 species
CUGGGCGUAAAGCGCACGCAGGCGGUCUGUCAAGUCGGAUGUGAAAUCCCCGGGCUCAACCUGGGAACUGCAUUCGAAACUGGCAGGCUAGAGUCUUGUAGAGGGGGGUAGAAUUCCAGGUGUAGCGGUGAAAUGCGUAGAGAUCUGGAGGAAUACCGGUGGCGAAGGCGGCCCCCUGGACAAAGACUGACGCUCAGGUGCGAAAGCGUGGGGAGCAAACAGGAUUAGAUACCCUGGUAGUCAAGGGCGAAUUCGC